UGGGGAAUUUUGGACAAUGGGCGAAAGCCUGAUCCAGCAAUGCCGCGUGUGUGAAGAAGGCCUUCGGGUUGUAAAGCACUUUUGUCCGGAAAGAAAUCCUUGGCUCUAAUACAGUCGGGGGAUGACGGUACCGGAAGAAUAAGCACCGGCUAACUACGUGCCAGCAGCCGCGGUAAUACGUAGGGUGCAAGCGUUAAUCGGAAUUACUGGGCGUAAAGCGUGCGCAGGCGGUUUGCUAAGACCGAUGUGAAAUCCCCGGGCUCAACCUGGGAACUGCAUUGGUGACUGGCAGGCUAGAGUAUGGCAGAGGGGGGUAGAAUUCCACGUGCAGCAGUGAAAUGCGUAGAGAUGUGGAGGAAUACCGAUGGCGAAGGCAGCCCCCUGGGCCAAAUACUGACGCUCAUGCACGAAAGCGUGGGGAGCAAACAGGAUUAGAUACCCUGGUAGUCCACGCCCUAAACGAUGUCAACUAGUUGUUGGGGAUUCAUUUCCUUAGUAACGUAGCUAACGCGUGAAGUUGACAGCCUGGGGGAGUACGGUCGCAAGAUUAAAACUCAAAGGAAUUGACGGGGUCAUA
rnacentral:rRNA from 1 species